rnacentral:lncRNA from 1 species
CUGUGAGGCAAACCCCAGCCAUAUCUCCAGCACACAAGAACUUCCAAACGCCUGAACUGCAGCGGCCAGGCAUUCUCCAGAACCUCCUCCCCCAGGAGCUUGCUACAAGUGCCAAAAAUCUGGCCACCAGGCCAAGGAAUGCCCGCAGCCCACCUGAACUGCAGCGGCCAGGCGUUCCUCCAGAACCUCCUACCCCAGGAGCUUGCUACAAGUGCCAAAAAUCUGGCCACCAGGCCAAGGAAUGCCCGCAGCCCGAGAUUCCUCCUAAGCCAUGUCCCAUCUGUGCAGGACUCCACUGGAAAUUGGACUGUUCAACUCACCUGGCAGCCACUCCCAGAGCCCCUGGAACUCUGGCCCAAGGCUCUCUGACUGACUCCUUCCCAGAUCUUCUCGGCUUAGCGGCUGAAGACUGACGCCGCCCGGUCACCUCGGAAGCCCCGUAGACCAUCACAGAUGCCGAGCUUUAAGUAACUCUCACAGUGGAAGGGCUCCAGCUGGGUGAACUAUGGGGCAUUUGCCCGGAGUUCAUGCUCAGCAUCAGGGUCAAAGCAAAGGGAACUCUGACAAUGAUUCCAUUGUGAACUUGUUCUGGGAAUGCCAUGAUGAUUCUCUAUCAUGUUCCUCGUACACUGCACCAGCACCACUGCUUCCCUUCCCAGUGAGAACCCGAUCAAGCUUUAUCAUGCAGCCCAGAAGGGUGGGGGAAAGAAAAAGAAUUAGGAGAAAAUGUUGUAAAAGUAAUGAGAUAAUAUGAGAAUGUGCUUUGGGAACUGCGAAUCUGGAGUCACUGGUCCAUGAGGAAUCUAGGAUAAGAAGAAGGAAGCUGUGAAGAAUGGUUGGCUAACAGUGCUGGCAAGGAAUUCAGAUCAACAUACCUCUCAAAAGAAUGGAAGUCUCUUAAACUCAGGUAAUUGUUAAAUUGGUUCAAGUGUAUUAUGGCAAGAAUGCUUCUCUCUCCUUCCCUAAUAUAACACUGCCCUAAAUGACUCCCUACCUCCCUGUUUUGUCUCACGCUUGACAGUGAAAACAAAGAUAAAUAUUUGAGGAAACAUAAACUCAAUAAUGUCAUUUAUUGGAAAGCUACAGUUUACAGAUUCUUUGCAUUUAUUACCAGAGCUGUUCCUUACAACAACUUUAUCUGAACAGUAUUAUUAGCUACAUGCUGUAGAUGAGAAAAGCAGUGCUCAACGAAACUAACUUGCCCUAGAGUAUCCAUCCAGUAACUGGUGAAGCUGGGAUUUCAACUUCCUUUUCUUUUUUCUUUCUUUUUUUAAAAAUCUUAAUUCUGAAGCUGUUAUGCAUUAUGGAACCUGUGUAGUUCCGUUCUGAGUUCUACUAUCUGGUUCAGAAUCUUGGCUCUACCACUUCAGCCCUCCCCCUCGCUCCAGGAAAGAAAUCACACAAGCUUUUGGGGGGAAAGAUUAGAAUGGAAAGGUCUGAAAUACAAGAGGAAAACCAUAAAAGUGUGUGUGCCCAGAGGGAAGAGAGGAGAGAAUUUCAAUAAGAAUGGGAUGAUUACCUGUGUAAUCAGGUAAUCAGCUAAUAUAGAUGAAAACAGUAUUUUGCAUUGCGAUAUUAGAUAGUUAUAGGCCAACUUUGCCAGAAAACUUUAGCAGAGUGCAGACAGAAAUGAGAUAAUAGUCUGUUAUAGGCAGGGAGAAUGUGGAGACAGGAGAAAGAAACUGAAAACACAGGAGAGGGAUGAGACGCUGGUAAAUAUUUCUUAACAGACCCCAGAGAAGUAGGCAAGACCAUCUAAAGGAGAGACAGAUGCAUGAGUCUUGGAAAUCAGAUGGUAAAAACCUGGUGGCAGGUUUGAAUGUCUCUGUGAAGUAAGAGAGAAGGGUGCUGCUAGGGAAAGGGAUUAGGGUGAAGGAGCAGCAAGGAAGGUGAAGGACAACUGGACAGUUUGCACGUGGAUGGUUUUGACUUGCCAUUGUGAGGGAUGACAAAAACUGCAUUCUCUGAGCAUAAACAUGGUUGGCCAGAUAGUCUGCAGGCCAACUGUGAGUGUAAAUUUGGAGCAGCACCUAUCUGAAGGGUGGUGUGGUUUCCCCACCAGAAUUCAAGAACCUAAAAUAAUGGAGUGGUUUAGGAUUAGGGCUGGGGCCAAGUGUGAUAGCUCACGUUGGUAAUCACAGCACUUUGGGAGCCCAAGGCAGGAGGAUCUGUAGAGUCCAGGAGUUCGAGACCAGCCUUGGCAACAUAGCAAGAACCUGUCUCUACAAAAAAUAGAUAAAUUUUUAAAAAUAAAAAAAAGAUUAGGGCUAGGUAGGUAAAAUAGAUAGGUUUAGGAAAGGACAAAGAAUAUGAGGGAAACAGGAAUGCUAACAGAACUGGCUAAAGUGAUAAAGGAGAAAGAGGGCUGUCUAUCUGAAUAUAAAAGCAGUCGAGCUUGGUUGGGGUUGUGAGCUGGUGAAACAAGCAGAGUACAAAGUAAUGAGGCUUCUCUAGGACAAAAAACGGUGGUGAUGAAACAUCCUCGGUCAGAUUUCAUCUAAAGGCAAGGUGAGCACACAUAGGACAUUGCUGAUUAAAUUGGAAAACUCCCUCUGUGUCUCAACCCUGGAAAUAUUAAAAUGAAUACAUUAUUAAACACUACUUUUUAUCCUAAUAUAAACCAUUUUAAACAGACUCCUCUUCCAGCUAAAUCCGAAAUAGCAUUAGAAUAUGAUGAGCUUAUAAAUCAGUAAUGGUCUGUAGAUGUAUCUUAUUAUUUCUUUUUCCUUUGGGGGUAGGUAAUAUUGUUUUUGUCUGUCCGUGCUUUGCUUAGAAGCCAUCCAAGUCAUCUACCCAAACCCAAGAAACAUGAUAGCAGAAAGCCCAUUUAAGUAAUUCUUAUAAGUGAUAUCUUUAGAGUCUUCUUGAAAAUAUAAAAGGGAAAUGAGAAACCACCACACAAAUCUCAAUGUUCAAAUUUCAAGAUCUUAAUCUAUUUUAUUUAUGGACUUGAUUGGGAAUAAAGAAAAGCUAGUCACCUUUUUUUCUUUUUCUUUUUCUUUUCUUUUCUUUUUUUUUUUUUUUUUUGAGACAGAGUCUCAUUCUGUCUCCCAGGCUGGAGUGCAGUGGCGUGAUCCCGGCUCACCACAGCCUCCACCUCCUGGGUUCAAGCGAUUCUCUUGCCUCAGCCACCUGAGUAGCUGAGAUUACAGGCAUGCUCCACCAUUCCUGGCUAAUUUUUGUAUUUUUAGUACAGACAGGGUUUCACCAUGUUGUCUAGGCUGAUCUGGAAUGCCUGCGCUCAAGUGAUCCGCCUGCCUUGGCCUCCCAAAGUGCUGGGAUUACAGGCGUGAACCAUCGUCCCCGGCCCCCAAAACUAGUCACUUUCUAUUCACGCACAGGAAAACAACCUAUUUCCAGUCAGAUCUCUGGUUCUCAUGUUGAAAGAUGGCAGAAAGCAAAAGGAGGAGGAGCAAUUUUGAUAGCUAAAUAAAACUCAUUUAUCACCAGUUUCUAUAUUUUUGUGUGUUUGAUAGAUUUUCGCCUUGUGUUACUUGUUUGUUUAAAAACUGAUGAAAAUCUUAAGAAAUUUAAAAGGAAUUUGUCAUUACUUAAGGACAGCAGAAGGGUUUCUUUUUCUUGUUUUCCUCUCACCUCUUUAUGAACUCAGUAUUAGUUGAUUCUCUAUGUUAAUAGCAAUAUAGACACUAUAAAUACAAAUCUAGAGAAAAUCCCAGACUUAAUAUUUGCUGAAAUUGCCCAAGAAAAUGAGACAUCAAUUCU